GGGAGUGUAGCUCAGGUGGUAAGAGCGGGCACCUUAUAAGUGUCGUCAGCGCGGGUUCAAAUCCCGCCAUUCCUACCA
rnacentral:tRNA from 1 species